rnacentral:tRNA from 1 species
GCGUCUGUAGCGAAGUGGAUAUCGCAGCGGCUUCCGAAGCCGAAGGCCACAGGUUCGAAUCCUGCCAGACGCG